rnacentral:rRNA from 1 species
UACGGAGGAUGCAAGCGUUAUCCGGAAUUAUUGGGCGUAAAGCGUCCACAGGUGGUCUUCCAGGUCUGCUGUCAAAGACCGGAGCUCAACUCUGGGCAGGCGGUGGAAACUGGAAAACUAGAGUACGGUAGGGGUAGAGGGAAUUCCCAGUGUAGCGGUGAAAUGCGUAGAGAUUGGGAAGAACACCAGUGGCGAAGGCGCUCUACUGGACCGUAACUGACGCUCAGGGACGAAAGCUAGGGGAGCGAAAGGG